AAAAAUCAUGAGGGUUCAAGUCCCUCUAUCCCCA
rnacentral:tRNA from 1 species